AUCCUUGCCAACCUCUCAACCAGGAUUUAACUUCAGCUUUUCCCCCAUUUUCAAAAAUUAUAGCAUGUAUUUAAAGGCAGCAGAAGCCUUACUUUCAGGUUUCCCUUACCCUUUCAUUUCUUUUUGUUUAAAAUAGGUAGUAAUUAAAGUUUUAAAUAUAGGGUAUCAUUUUUCUUUAAGAGUCAUUUAUCAAUUUUCUUCUAACUUCAGGCCUAGAAAGAAGUUUUGGGUAGGCUUUGUCUUACAGUGUUAUUAUUUAUGAGUAAAACUAAUUGGUUGUCCUGCGUACUUUAAUUAUGAUGUAAUACAGGUUCUGGGUUGACAAAUAUCAAGACGGAGGAGAUCUCUGAAGUGAAGAUGGAUGCAGAAUUCCGACAUGACUCAGGAUAUGAAGUUCAUCAUCAAAAAUUGGUGUUCUUUGCAGAAGAUGUGGGUUCAAACAAAGGUGCAAUCAUUGGACUCAUGGUGGGCGGUGUUGUCAUAGCGACAGUGAUCGUCAUCACCUUGGUGAUGCUGAAGAAGAAACAGUACACAUCCAUUCAUCAUGGUGUGGUGGAGGUUGACGCCGCUGUCACCCCAGAGGAGCGCCACCUGUCCAAGAUGCAGCAGAACGGCUACGAAAAUCCAACCUACAAGUUCUUCGAGCAGAUGCAGAACUAGACCCCCGCCACAGCAGCCUCUGAAGUUGGACAGCAAAACCAUUGCUUCACUACCCAUCGGUGUCCAUUUAUAGAAUAAUGUGGGAAGAAACAAACCCCCGUUUUAUGAUUUACUCAUUAUCGCCUUUUGACAGCUGUGCUGUAACACAAGUAGAUGCC
rnacentral:sRNA from 1 species